rnacentral:rRNA from 1 species
ACGUAGGGGGCGAGCGUUGUCCGGAAUCAUUGGGCGUAAAGCGCGUGUAGGCGGCUCGAUAAGUCCGGUGUGAAACCUUGGGGCUCAACCCCAAGCCUGCACUGGAUACUGCCGAGCUAGAGUCCGGGAGGGGAGAGCGGAAUUCCUAGUGUAGCGGUGAAAUGCGCAGAUAUUAGGAAGAACACCGGUGGCGAAGGCGGCUCUCUGGAACGGUACUGACGCUGAGACGCGAAAGCGUGGGGAGCGAACAGGA